UCCCUAGCGUUUUCUGGCUCUACCCGCGGGUCUCCUACCAGUUGGAUGUGCCCAAACCACCUCAGCUGGCUCCUUUCAAGGAGCAGGAGCUCUACUUUGAGGUCCCCCUAGAUCUCCAAGCUCUUAGCCCCAUCUCUGAAUGCAAACACACCUCUCACUGCAGUUGUAUAAGGAUCGAAUGGCUCUGAGCAACAGCCCCAGGACCCCAUACUCCCACAACAUCCCCUACAAGGUGCCCUGAGAGACAUGAUUGUAAGCCUUCUCCAAGUCUACAUAACAAAUGUAGACUAGAUGUACAAACUUCCAUGACCCCUCAAGUAUCCUUGCAAGGGUGAAGAAAUGGUCCACUGUCCCACAGCCAGGACAGAAUCCAAAUGGUUCCUCCUGAAUUUGAGAUUCGACAAUUGACCAGAGCCGCCUCUUCAGGACUCUGGCAUAAGCUUUCUCUGGGACGCUGAGUGGUGUGAUCCCUUGAUAGUUUGAGCAAACCCUCCAGGCCCGUUUUUAAGAAAUGGGAACCACCACAGUCUGUCAGUCCUUAGGCUCUGUCCCUCACCUCCAUGCGACACUUAAGAGGCCUGCAGUGUCCAGAGUCUUCAGCAUUUUAGGAAGAAUAUCAUCCACACCUGGCACCUUGCCUCUGAGGAGCUAUUUGAAUACUUAGAGAUCUCUGUCGGGGACAUGAGUGAGGUUUCCCCUGAGUCGUCAAACUCUGCCUCCUUCAUGGAGGGCAUGUAGGUCGGGUUUAGCAGACCAUCAAAGUGUUCCUUCCACCGCCCAACGAUGUCCUCAGUCAAGGCUAACCAAAAGUUCUUUUCCAUAGUCUCCCCAAAUUUCUCUCACACCCAUUUUUUGCUUCAGUUAACACCAAAGCUGCUGCCCUUAUGGCCCUUCAGUGCUCAUCUUCUGCUUCAGGAGACCCCUCGGUCAGCCAAACCCUAAGACAUGUUUGUGUAUAUAAGGAUGUGUGUGCUACUGUACUUAUUUAUAAUUAUUAUCACUGCAACUAUUAAAGGAUUUAAGACUUU